AGGAGGAGGAUUACUCGGGUUUCUGUGUUGCUUGAAAAAAGAUAAGUGAUUGGUUUAUGAUUUUUGAGAACCAAUAGAUUUACUGAUAAAGUUGGAUAAAAUGUUCUGUUUAAGGAUCUCAUUUUAUCUUGGGAGAAACAGACGUAGAAAUAGAUAAUUAUCACUUCAAGGUGGAAGCAUGCGAAUGAAUAUUUUGUAGGAGUGGUAAUAUAGGUGUCUGAGAAAGCUUUCUUGAAGAUGUGAAACCCUGAAGUGUAGUAGUACAUACUGGUUUACAAAGACAAGUGAGAGUUAUUAAAGCAUUCAGAAAAGACAUAUCAGAAGGAAGCAAAGGUUGGGACAAAAACUUGGGUAAGGUGAGCAUGCUGAUAGACAAUUGAAGUAGGGAUCUGCUUAAGUGUGACAGAAGAGGCAAAUCAAGGAUGGCCUGGUUUGACAUAUGAAGGAGUAUGAGAUCUAAUCUGUGAGUAUGAGAUCUAAUCUGUGAGCAGUUGGAAGCCACUGAAAAAUUUGAAGUAGAAGAAGUCUAUGGUAAGAUUUUUCUGUUUAAGUAAUCAUUCAGGUGGUUGUGUGGUGGUUGAAUAUGAGGCAGUAAAAAAGUAAGGUUAAGUUUUAAUUAACAUCACUGAUAUCUGAGCCUCCUGGUUC